GGCGAAUCAGUGGCCGCUAACACUAAUUAAAAGUAUAUAAAAAAAUCCACUCCUAUUAUUAAAUGAAAAAAAAUCACAGAUUGGUGUAGGUCUUCUUCUCCUUGCUCGUUGCUCUCUAAAACUUUUCCCACUCAAUUUCCUCUCUUAUCAAAUCUCUCGAAUCUAACUGCUCAAAUCACAAAUUGUGACCCAUCUGAUAGCAAAGCAAAAGCCCUAAUCAAAAAAUGUGACUCCAUCAGGUAUGUGCUCUAAUCUUAAACUCAAAUUCCUUUUCGGUGGUAUAUACAGUUAGCGAGAAUGAUAAUUUCAACGAUUUCACAUAGGAUUUUCACAGACUUCACCUAUAAUUUCUCUGACCCAGUUGAAAAACUAUAGGAACGAAAAGAAAUUCAUACAAUAACAAUCCAUGGUGAGGAGUCAGCGGGGAUUUUGGGUUUUCAGUCUGAUGCUCAACUUUUCUCGGCCUCCGAAAAAAAUUAGUAAACUAUUUUUUGAUCCGCUGUCUUGAUAACACUCUCCAAUCUCUCCCUAUCUCUUUCUCUAGCAAAAUCGAGUAGUAAUUCUGUAUUAAUCAUAAAAGUUGGGUUGUUCUUUUCUUGGUAGCAGAAGCACGAACAUUCGUAGUUUUUGGGUUUUUUUUUUUUUUUUUUUUUUAGGGUUAUUGUUGUUUCAGUUUGUUCUGUUAGUAGAGAAAGGAACUAAGAGUAUUUGUAUUGGCGGAAAGAGGAGGAAUAAAAGUUCAGGUAGUGAUUGAGAGAACAUUGAAGGAAAUAUCAAAUGGUAAUUUUGUUCUUGACAUGAAGAAUAAAUGUGGUGUUGGAGGUAUUGAGGUUAUGUUUUUAGAAGAUAGAGCUACUGAAGAUUAGCCUAUCACCCCAUGAACCUUUUCUGUUGCCAGGUAAUCCAAACUAUUUGUUGACUAAUUCUUUGAUUGUCUAGCUUUCGCUUAACGUUGCUAUGGACUGUGUUAACUUUUCCUGCUAUACCCCAAAAGAAUAUGAUAGUGCUUCAUAUUUAAUUGUGCAAUAUUUAGUUAUCUAUAAACUAAAAUAGUGGGAUGUAAUGUGUAGUUGAAAAUAGUGUUAUUAUCCUCUUUUUUCUUUAGAUUAAGUUCUAUUCAGUUAGUUUCCUGCUCCAGGAGAACCAUUUAGUUAUCAUUGAUUUAUGCAGCUGGAUUUAUUAAUUAAUGGGUGUUUGGUUAUGAAAAUAAUUGAUUUAGUUUAUGUGAAGUUGUCAACUAUUAGUCCUUCUUGACAGUCAUCUUUAUAGAGUUGUGUUGAUAUAACUUUUUAUGGGAUUCACACUACAACAAAGGACUUGCCUUCCCUGUGGUGGAGAGAGAUGCUAUCACGCGACCUUCUACCUCAUAAUUCUUCAGGUCAAGAACUUGCCUUCUCUGUUUCAAGCCAAGAACUUCAGGUCAUUUCAUAAUUCUUGACUUAUAACCUUGAGUUCGUUCUUCCAUUUCCACUCAUAAUAAGACUGGUAAUAUUUUCUGUCAAAUAUCAGGAGAAGAAAUUAAUGCACAAUUUCUUUCAAUAUUAAGUUUCCUCGUAAGGAUACAUGGCUAUGUGGUUCUUCAGGUAGUCUUACCUCUCACUAUAGCAGUGAAAAUUUCACAUCAUGUUCAUUAUAUGAACUUAAAUGGAGUUGGUAUGAGGUUAGAGAUAGCAUGGUUAUAUUGUCCAUCACGUUAAUGGAAUUACCUUGUAGCAUGGCUAUAUGGUCAUAUAUGUUUAAUUUUCUCGUUCUCCUUUUUAUUUUAUCAUGUUUUUUCCUUUUUGUGCCCUCUAGAACAAAUGAUUUAAGCUCCCAUUUUUGUCAAUUGUACAUUUAAAAUCCUUUUACAGUAAGUCUAAGGGAAUACAAUUCCAUUAAAAUAUUACUUGACUAUUCUAUGUUAUUUCAUGAUGAGUCUACUUUGUCACCAGACCAAUGGGUGAUUUUAUGUCUAUGCUGCUAAAAUUCUGCUGAUAACGUAUUAUUCCAAUGCUCGGGAAAGAAAUAAAAAGUUAUCUUACAAGUUUCUUAUCGAUUAUUCCAUGUGCUGGAACUUUUUAUCCAAGUCAUUAUUGUUACUGAUGGAGAGCGAAUAUUACGACGUGGUAAUCUUGGUUGUCAGGUAAAUCUUUUAAAUUCUACUAGCUAUUAGAUUUGUUUUCUAAUAGUGUGUUAUUUGAACAAUUGGAUGGAACUAAUUAGAGAGACAAUACUGACUAUCUCUUACUUUACUUGUACACGGUACCAUGUUGAUAACAUACUUGACCGAAAGUUCCAAUGUAGUUUCAGGGAAUUAUUAUAGUGCUCUUGGAGGUGUUCGUCCCUCAUCCUGAUUAUGGGUGAGGCUCUUAAUCAAUCACAAUUGUUGUCGACCAUGGAGGAGUUUGAAGGCCCUAAAUCAUAGUUAUUAUUUUUCUUAUCAUAUGUAUAUGAAUACAAUGACAAUGAACGAUGAAGUAUUGUGUAAUACAAAUUAAUUGAUAUUUUGGUAAUGGAAGUAUAUAUAAUAUUCAGUUUGAGAAAUA